rnacentral:rRNA from 1 species
UACGUAGGGCGCAAGCGUUAUCCGGAAUUAUUGGGCGUAAAGAGCUCGUAGGCGGUUUGUCGCGUCUGCCGUGAAAGUCCGGGGCUCAACUCCGGAUCUGCGGUGGGUACGGGCAGACUAGAGUGAUGUAGGGGAGACUGGAAUUCCUGGUGUAGAGGUGAAAUGCGCAGAUAUCAGGAGGAACACCGAUGGCGAAGGCAGGUCUCUGGGCAUUAACUGACGCUGAGGAGCGAAAGCAUGGGGAGCGAACAGG